rnacentral:rRNA from 1 species
UACGGAGGGGGCUAGCGUUGUUCGGAAUUACUGGGCGUAAAGCGCACGUAGGCGGCUUUGUAAGUUAGAGGUGAAAGCCCAGGGCUCAACCCUGGAAUUGCCUUUAAGACUGCAUCGCUUGAACAUCGGAGAGGUAGGUGGAAUUCCGAGUGUAGAGGUGAAAUUCGUAGAUAUUCGGAAGAACACCAGUGGCGAAGGCGACUUACUGGACGAUUGUUGACGCUGAGGUGCGAAAGCGUGGGGAGCAAACAGG